GCCAGCAGAGUUCCCUAGGUCUGGGUGGAGGGGUCAACGUGAACGCCAUUGCUCACUCUGGAGGGAUGGUGAACGCCCCAGCCGUGACUGGCUGCACCAUCAGAGGCCCUGUCACCUUCAACUUUGGAAGAAGGCACACGCCACAGCAAGAAGGGGUGACUAUAAGACCUCAGGAUAAAGCAGAGUUGUGUUCAACGGAGAAAAUAUCUUCCCUCA